CAUUUCAAACAUAUGGUAGAGCACCUUGUGCCCAGGUCCUUCUUUUCCUGACACGCACGUGAGUAAAUGAUAUUCUCCUUAUCAUGAUAACAUUCCUAUUUCUUACGUGCUUGCAACUUGCCAUGGCGUUUUAUACUUUAUAUGGCUUUACAGAAGAUAGUGGGAUAGUGAAAUAUCUUAAAUAAUAGCGGGUUUUAUUCAAACAUCAUUUCAAAGAUAAAGAUGACUAAGGUGACUAGGAAGAGUCCUUUCAGUUUAUGGUGGGCAAUAAAAGUGAGGAUUCCUUGUUGUAGGAUGAUUUUCAGAGUCAAUACAUAAUAUGUGACCAAAGUCUUCCUCCCUGACCACCAUUUUGCAAGGAAAGCAUUGAUGUGGAUGCUGCAUAAAGAACAUGUUCAUGAUCUUCCUGUAGACACCAGAAAAAUGAAUUGAUUACUUCAUCAUACAACCAGCCAGCAGAGAUACAGAAUGUGGUCCAUUCCUUAAUAGUUUUGCGGUGAUUGAUGAAGAUUCUGUAAUGAGAGGUGUGAAACCUGUGUGAGGAGUUGGCAUGAAAGGAAUUGUUUGUGUAUCUUUGCUGGAUGAUUGUGUUUCCAUUUUCUCUAGAGAUAAGUCUUUAUUAUAGAAUUUUCUCAUCAUUGCAGCAUGUUGGCCAACUCUUCUAUUGUAUGGGUGUAUCUUCUUUAAUUUUGCAGAUGGUAGAUUAGAUAAUCUGGCUUUCUUUUUAGGAUUGCUGGUUGUUGACUUGCUGAUAUUUGAUGUUCUUUUUUUUUACGUUUCAUUGACGUUUUCCCGGCGUCAGGAGCUGUAAGUGCUAGUCCUGAAUCAGUAUUGCUGUUAUUCUCAAAUUCCUGAAGUGCAGACUGAAGACUCUUUUCCAGGCUGGCUAGUGAAGUUGAAUUAGUACACUCGUGGACCAAACUCUUUAUUCUAGAUAACAGAUCACAACACCUAGUAAUAGCUGUCCGUUUUGGGAACACUGGUUUAGGUAGAACAGCUGUCAUAGUUUGUUUUAUGUCAGCUUCUUCUGUUUCUUUUUCUUGGUCAUGAAAACUUUCUGCACCACAAACUUGCUGAGCAUCGUCAACUCUUUUCAAAAUAUGAUCAAUUGGUUUGAACAAUAUAUCGACAUCUAAGGUCAGAAAUGGAGAAUCUUUAUAUGCUGUUGAUGUCCAACGUUCCCAUGCUUGCUCUCGAUGAAAAUCGCAAAGCAGCACUUUGCAGUCUGAAAAUAUACCCACAUGUUACACUCCAUGAUGAAUUGCAGAGCUACGUAGCCAUGGUGUUACAUGGUUGAUUUAGUGCAAUAAAGAAUGCCAGAUGUUUUGGUCAAAACCUCUUGCAGCUCGUGCCUCAUACCUGGAAAACAAACUCAAUUGAUUUUAUUUCUUCUUCACAAAGAUCGGUCAUCAUAUGCUGUGGGUUCCAUCGUGGAUUCCAUUGAUGUAAAAUACUGAGAGCUUCUGUUAUACUAGCUGUUGUUUCAUCUUGUAUUACAAAGGAUGAAACGAUAGCAUAAUCAACAUUAGUCUUCACAGCAACAAAAAAUAAUGGCAAGGAAUACUUUGUGGUUUUGUAUGUGGCAUCUAGGAAAGCUAGUUCCUGACCAUAACGACAAAGUAACCUUGAUUGCCAAGCCGUUUGGUGUAUAAACAAAAGUCGCCCUUUUUGCUCCUUUGCAGUCGUCAUAACCUCUUCAUUUAAACUUAUGUCGUCAUCGCUGUCUUCUUCAUUUUAUUGCAAGACGAGCAUGUCAAACAAGAGCAUAUACCAUUCCAAGUCUGUGCGUGGUGUGAUCUUCUGGCCGCGGAAAUGAAAUAUAGAUUCUGCGUUCAGUUUUUACUGAGGAGCUGGGGUUUAUUAAAUGGGCUCGCAAAUCAGCAGAGGUCGUGUCACGUUUCUUCUUUUUAGCGUCAUGUGGCACCUAAAAAUAUUGCACUCUAAUCUUUUAGAAAAAAACCAAUUUAACAUGUGUAUACUUGUCGAUUUACUAUGAACAAAAAUAAAGCCACAGUAUAAGCAA